rnacentral:rRNA from 1 species
CCUACGGGAGGCAGCAGUGAGGAAUAUUGGUCAAUGGCCGAGAGGCUGAACCAGCCAAGUCGCGUGAGGGAAGACGGCCCUACGGGUUGUAAACCUCUUUUGUCGGGGAGCAAAGCGAGUCACGUGUGACUCAUUGAGAGUACCCGAAGAAAAAGCAUCGGCCAACCCCGUGCCAGCAGCCGCGGUAAUACGGAGGAGGCGAGCGUUAUCCGGAUUUAGUGGGGUUAAGGGGUGCGCAGGCGGAGGUGCAAGUCAGCGGGAAAAUUGCGGGGCUCAACCCCGUACUGCCGUUGAAACUGCAUCCCUUGAGUGCGCGAGAAGUAUGCGGAAUGCGUGGUGUAGCGGUGAAAUGCAUAGAUAGCACGCAGAACUCCGAUUGCGAAGGCAGCAUACCGGCGCGCAACUGACGCUGAUGCGCGAAAGCGUGGGGAGCAAACAGGAUUAGAUACCCUAGUAGUC